GACUGAGUGGCGAACUGGUGAGUAACACGUGGGUAACCUGCCCAGAAGAAGGGGAUAACACCUGGAAACAGAUGCUAAUACCGUAUAACAACAAGAACCACAUGGUUCUUGUUUGAAAGCUGGCCUUUGUGCUAGUGCUUCUGGAUGGACCCGCGGCGUAUUAGCUAGUUGGUGAGAUAAUAGCUCACCAAGGCAAUGAUACGUAGCAGACCUGAGAGGGUAAUCUGCCACAAUGGGACUGAGACACGGCCCAUACUCCUACGGGAGGCAGCAGUAGGGAAUCUUCCACAAUGGACGAAAGUCUGAUGGAGCAACGCCGCGUGAGUGAAGAAGGGUUUCGGCUCGUAAAACUCUGUUGUUAGAGAAGAACAGCCGUGAGAGCAACUGCUCACGGUAUGACGGUAUCUAACCAGAAAGUCACGGCUAACUACGUGCCAGCAGCCGCGGUAAUACGUAGGUGGCAAACGUUGUCCGGAUUUAUUGGGCGUAAAGGGAGCGCAGGCGGUUUAUUAAGUCUGAUGUGAAAGCCUUCGGCUUAACCGGAGAAGUGCAUCGGAAACUGAUAAACUUGAGUGCAGAAAAGGAUAGUGGAACUUCAUGUGUAGCGGUGAAAUGCGUAGAUAUAUGAAGGAACACCAGUGGCGAAGGCGGCUAUCUGGUCUGUAACUGACGCUGAGGCUCGAAAGCAUGGGUAGCAAACAGGAUUAGAUACCCUGGUAGUCCAUGCCGUAAACGAUGAAUGCUAGGUGUUGGAAGGUUUCCGCCUUUCAGUGCCGCAGCUAACGCAUUAAGCAUUCCGCCUGGGGAGUACGACCGCAAGGUUGAAACUCAAAGGAAUUGACGGGGACCCGCACAAGCGGUGGAGCAUGUGGUUUAAUUCGAUGCUACGCGAAGAACCUUACCAGGACUUGACAUCUUCUGCCAAUCUAAGAGAUUAGACGUUCCCUUCGGGGACAGAAUGACAGGUGGUGCAUGGUUGUCGUCAGCUCGUGUCGUGAGAUGUUGGGUUAAGUCCCGCAACGAGCGCAACCCUUGUCUUUAGUUGCCAGCAUUAAGUUGGGCACUCUAGAGAGACUGCCGGUGAUAAACCGGA
rnacentral:rRNA from 1 species